rnacentral:rRNA from 1 species
GAUGAACGCUGGCGGCGUGCCUAAUACAUGCAAGUCGAGCGAACAGACGAGGAGCUUGCUCCUCUGACGUUAGCGGCGGACGGGUGAGUAACACGUGGAUAACCUACCUAUAAGACUGGGAUAACUUCGGGAAACCGGAGCUAAUACCGGAUAAUAUAUUGAACCGCAUGGUUCAAUAGUGAAAGACGGUUUUGCUGUCACUUAUAGAUGGAUCCGCGCGGCAUUAGCUAGUUGGUAAGGUAACGGCUUACCAAGGCAAGGAUGCGUAGCCGACCUGAGAGGGAGCAGCGCCACUGGGGAACAGACACGGGCCCGAGACCCCUGGGGGGGACCGGUGUAGAGAUUUGGCCGAAAGGGGCGAACGUGUGACAGCAAAGCGCCGCGUGAGAGAUGAAGCUUCGCGUUGUGAAAAACUCUUUUAGUGGGGAAAAAGAAAUGUGUAAAUACCAAGGCACGUUGACAGUGUCCCCAAUAAAAAAGCCGGGUCAAUCCGUG